rnacentral:tRNA from 1 species
GGGGCGGGUGGUACGAGGGUGUGCCGGCGGGCUUGAUAAACCCGUAGCCUUGCGGCGAACUGGGUUCGAUUCCCAGACGCCCCACCA